ACCUGGGUGGCUCAGUCGGUUAAGCGUCCGACUUCAGCUCGGGUCAUGAUCUCACAGUUUGUGGGUUCGAGCCCCACAUCGGGCU
rnacentral:tRNA from 1 species